rnacentral:misc_RNA from 1 species
CAUCCAUUCAAUCUGUUUGUCAACGUGUAUCAGAAGUCGCUGCAUAUCGUUUGAUCUUCCUGGACUCUAAUUCAGUAUUCUAUGAAACUCUCUAUGUGGGCGAUGUAGCAAAUGCCCGGAUUAGGCCUGCUUUGAGAACCCUGAAGCAGAAUCUUACUCUUCUGACAGCUAUUCUUACAGACAGAGCUCAGGCUUUGGCAAUGAGAG